CUUUAAAGAAAGCGUAAUAGCUCACUGUUCGACUCCGAUUUAUCGGAGUUGAAAGAUUGCACCAAAAAUGUAACGAGGCUAAAACAUAGUGCCGAAGAUGGAGAUUUGGUGCUUCGCACCUUGAGUUUAUAAAGUUAAAAGUUUUUAAAGUUUGUAAAGUAAAUAUCAAAAAUACUUUAUGGACUUUAUAACUUGAUAAACUUUUGAACUUGAAGUGCGGAGCACUGAAUGGUAGGAGAGCGUUCUGGUGACGGCGAAGGUUAAGGCGUAAGCUAAGCUGGAGUUGUCAGAAGUGAGAAUGCAGGCAUGAGUAACGUAAUCCCGGUGAGAACCCGGGACGUCGAAAUAUCCAAGGUUUCCUCAGCUACGUUGUUCGACUGAGGGUUAGGCGAUCCUAACAUGAGGCCCUGAUUAAUGGGGGCGUAGUGGAUGGACUACCGGUUAAUAUUCCGGUCCUUACUAAUAUUCGUUUUAAUUUGGGGUAUGACGGUGUAUGGAAGGUUUUGAGUCUAAGUGAUUGGGCUUUUAAGUGUCUAGCUAGAAGGGGUUGGAAAAUCCGCCUUUUCGUUUUAAGGUGAAGCACGAAUAGAAUCCUGAUUUAUCGGGAGACAAGACUAAAUCCAUGUACACAAGAAAAGUAUCGCAAAUAGAGUAUUGGUGAUCCGUACUAAAACCGACACUGGUGGAUAAGUCGAGAAGACUAAGACGAUUGGAAGAAAGAUGGUUAAGGAAAUCAGCAAAUUAACUGGGCGUAAGCUUUGCGAGAUGCCCUGCCCGGGAUAACACCCGGGUUACAACAAAAGAAUACACGGCGACUGUUUACCAAAAACAUAGGUCCAUGCGAACCUGUAAGGGGAUGUAUAUGGGCCGAAACCUGACCGGUGCUAGAAGGUUAAAUGAGAGAGUGAUGUCCGAUUUAUCGGACUGAGCUUUUGAUUGAAGCCCUAGUGAACGUCAGCAGUAACUCUAACUGUUCUAAGGUAGCGAAGUCCUUUGUCGGGUAAGUUCCGACGCGUAUGAAAGGUUUAACGACUGUGUAACUGUCUUAAUCAUCUAUCCAGUGAAAUUGAAAGAGCGGUGAAGAUGCCGUUUAAUUACUACAGGACAAAAAGACCCCAUGAAGCUUUACUGGAUCUUUACAUUGACAAGAAUUUAAUGAUUGUUUAGUGUAGGAGGGAUCCUUCGGGAAACAAUGAAACACCUCCCUUUGUUAUUUUUGAGUCUAACCUACUCCGAUGAAUCUCGGAGGGGGACCGUGUAUGGUUGCUAGUUUGCCUGGGGCAGGCACCUGCAAAAGAGUAACGCGGGUAUACAAAGGUCAACUUAGUCCGGCAGGAAAUCGGACUUUAAGUGUAAAAGCAAAAGUUGGCUUGACUGUGAGACUUACAAGUCGAAUCCCGAUUUAUCGGGAGUUUCAAUCAUUUAUUUAGUUUGGAUUCAGGGUCGAAAGACGGUUUUAGUGAUCCUCGUGACCUAUUUGGUAUAGGCACGGGCUUACUGGAUAAAAGCUACUCUGGGGAUAACAGGCUAGUCGCAUCCGAUAGUUCAUAUUGACGAUGCGGUUCGGCACCUCGAUGUCGACUUGGCGCAUCCUGGCCCUGAAGAAGGGGCCAAGGGUUGGUCUGUUCGCCCAUUAAAGCGCUGCGUUAGUUGGGUUCAGAGCGUCGCGAGACAGCUCGGUCUCUAUCCGUAGUAAUCGUUCGAUUCUUGAAGGGAUUCAUCUACAGUACGAGAGGACCUAGAUGAGGAAACCUCUGGUGUGCCAGUUGUGCUGUCAAGUGCAUCGCUGGGUAGCUACCGUUUCUAUAAGAUAACUGUUGAAAGCAUCUCAAACAGGAAACUGACCCUAAGAUAAGGAAUCGUUUUCCCGAGCAAUCGGGAAGGAAGAUCGCCGGGAGACUACCGGCCAAUACUUUGCAAGUGGAAGACCCGUAAGGGUUUGAGCUAAGCAAUGGAAUGAUCGAAGAAAUUUCU
rnacentral:rRNA from 1 species